UUGAACGCUGGCGGUAUGCUUUACACAUGCAAGUCGAACGGGCUAUGGGGCUUGCUCCAUAGUUAGUGGCGAACGGGUGAGUAAUAUAUCGGAACAUAUCCGGAAGUGGGGGAUAACGUAGCGAAAGUUACGCUAAUACCGCAUAUGCCCUGAGGGGGAAAGGGGGGGAUCGCAAGACCUCUCGCUUUCGGAGUGGCCGAUAUCGGAUUAGCUAGUAGGUGAGGUAAAGGCUCACCUAGGCGACGAUCCGUAGCUGGUCUGAGAGGACGACCAGCCACACUGGAACUGAGACACGGUCCAGACUCCUACGGGAGGCAGCAGUGGGGAAUUUUGGACAAUGGGCGAAAGCCUGAUCCAGCCAUACCGCGUGAGUGAAGAAGGCCUUCGGGUUGUAAAGCUCUUUCGGCAGGAACGAAACGGUGCGGGCCAAUACCCCGCAUCAAUGACGGUACCUGAAGAAGAAGCACCGGCUAACUACGU
rnacentral:rRNA from 1 species